rnacentral:rRNA from 1 species
GAUGAACGCUAGCUACAGGCUUAACACAUGCAAGUCGAGGGGCAGCAUUUUAGUUUGCUUGCAAACUAAAGAUGGCGACCGGCGCACGGGUGAGUAACACGUAUCCAACCUGCCGAUAACUCGGGGAUAGCCUUUCGAAAGAAAGAUUAAUAUCCGAUAGUAUAUUAAAACCGCAUGGUUUUACUAUUAAAGAAUUUCGGUUAUCGAUGGGGAUGCGUUCCAUUAGUUUGUUGGCGGGGUAACGGCCCACCAAGACUACGAUGGAUAGGGGUUCUGAGAGGAAGGUCCCCCACAUUGGAACUGAGACACGGUCCAAACUCCUACGGGAGGCAGCAGUGAGGAAUAUUGGUCAAUGGACGAGAGUCUGAACCAGCCAAGUAGCGUGAAGGAUGACUGCCCUAUGGGUUGUAAACUUCUUUUAUAUGGGAAUAAAGUAUUCCACGUGUGGGAUUUUGUAUGUACCAUAUGAAUAAGGAUCGGCUAACUCCGUGCCAGCAGCCGCGGUAAUACGGAGGAUCCGAGCGUUAUCCGGAUUUAUUGGGUUUAAAGGGAGCGUAGGUGGAUUGUUAAGUCAGUUGUGAAAGUUUGCGGCUCAACCGUAAAAUUGCAGUUGAAACUGGCAGUCUUGAGUACAGUAGAGGUGGGCGGAAUUCGUGGUGUAGCGGUGAAAUGCUUAGAUAUCACGAAGAACUCCGAUUGCGAAGGCAGCUCACUAGACUGCAACUGACACUGAUGCUCGAAAGUGUGGGUAUCAAACAGGAUUAGAUACCCUGGUAGUCCACACAGUAAACGAUGAAUACUCGCUGUUUGCGAUAUACAGUAAGCGGCCAAGCGAAAGCAUUAAGUAUUCCACCUGGGGAGUACGCCGGCAACGGUGAAACUCAAAGGAAUUGACGGGGGCCCGCACAAGCGGAGGAACAUGUGGUUUAAUUCGAUGAUACGCGAGGAACCUUACCCGGGCUUAAAUUGCAUUUGAAUAAUCUGGAAACAGGUUAGCCGCAAGGCAAAUGUGAAGGUGCUGCAUGGUUGUCGUCAGCUCGUGCCGUGAGGUGUCGGCUUAAGUGCCAUAACGAGCGCAACCCUUAUCUUUAGUUACUAACAGGUUAUGCUGAGGACUCUAGAGAGACUGCCGUCGUAAGAUGUGAGGAAGGUGGGGAUGACGUCAAAUCAGCACGGCCCUUACGUCCGGGGCUACACACGUGUUACAAUGGGGGGUACAGAAGGCAGCUACCUGGCGACAGGAUGCUAAUCCCAAAAACCUCUCUCAGUUCGGAUCGAAGUCUGCAACCCGACUUCGUGAAGCUGGAUUCGCUAGUAAUCGCGCAUCAGCCAUGGCGCGGUGAAUACGUUCCCGGGCCU